UACAGAGGUCCCGAGCGUUGUUCGGAUUCAUUGGGCGUAAAGGGUGCGUAGGCGGUCUUUUAAGUUUGAUGUGAAAUCCCGGGGCUCAACCCUGGAAUUGCAUUGAAUACUGGAGGACUAGAGUCCCGGAGAGGAAACUGGAAUUUACGGUGUAGCAGUGAAAUGCGUAGAGAUCGUAAGGAAGACCAGUGGCGAAGGCGAGUUUCUGGACGGGUACUGACGCUGAGGCACGAAGGCCAGGGGAGCAAACGGG
rnacentral:rRNA from 1 species